rnacentral:lncRNA from 10 species
GAGGAGGACGACGUCCCUCCCGGGGAGAAGAGGCUGCGGCUGUUGCUGGAGGGGGGAAGAGCACAGCCCUAGGACUGCGAGGACGGGGAGGACGCGCCGCGGCCGGGCAGGGAGGAGACCGGCACCCAGACAGGUGGCGACGGCAGAGGAGAUUACUGUCCACAAACAAACAAACAGCACCAAAACUCCCAACAAUAAGAACAACAGAAAUCCCACCUAAGGCACCAAAGGCUUGCCAGAAGAAAGGAUUUCUCUCCUGUUUUCACCCACUCCCUGUGCCUCCUGACUGACCCCGGUGCUUCCCCCAUGGCUCUGCAGAUCUUGGUGUGCCCACUCCUCUUGGGAACUGUAAGUAACGAAGAUCUGUUGGCCUCGCCAUAUCUGAAUAAUAAUGACACCUACACUUUAAAGCAGGGGCCCAGCAGGGCAAGAAGUCAGGACCCUGUUCCCUCUCUCACAGAGCUUAGAAUCUAGUCAGUGUGUUGCAUAUAUUUUUCUAGCGUGCAAUUUUUUUCUCUGAUAAGGCAAAUGGGCUUGAAUCUCAAGACUGUAGUUGCUUAUCAGAUUAAUACAGCUAUGCUUUUGAAAAUGAAUAAUGGGAUAAUUUAAUGGUGAGUAUGUACACUAUUUCUAACUCCCAGUGCCACCCACAAUACACACAUACACACACACACACUCAUACACUCACACAUACUCACACACACUCAUAUACAUACAUUCACUGUCUCACACACACACACUCACACAGUCUCACGAACUCACACACUGACACACACACUCACACACUCACUCUGACACACGACACUCCUUGUAGGAGGUGUAUUGAGUCUCAGGGUAGGUAGGCUCUGAUUUCCUAAUUCCUGCCUCCGUGAAUUCUUUUUCCCUCUCAAAGCCUCUCUGCUCCCUAUUCCUAUCCAUAGAUGUCCUGCAGAUGGUUAAGAGUCUUUAACAACCCUAAGCUGCAGACAGGCCUAAAGCAGUUUCACUGAGUUUACUUUUGAAUUUUGUUUAUGGUGGGUUUUUUUAAUUUAAACUUUUUUUUUUUUUAAGAGACAGCCUCGCUCUGCCACCCAGGCUGGUGUGCAGUGGCGCAAUCUCGGCUCAUUGCAACCUCCGCCUCCUGGGUUCAAGCGAUUAUCCUGCCUCAGCCUCCCAACUAGCUAGAAUUACAGGCGUGUAAUUUUACCACCAUGCGCAGCUAAUUUUUUUUUGUAUUUUUAGUAAAGACAGGGUUUCACUAUAUUGGCCAGGCUGGGCUUAAACUCCUGACCUCAGGUGACCCGCCGGCCUUAGCCUCCCGAAGUGCUGGGAUUAUAGGCGUGAGCCACUGCGCCUGGCCUAAUUUAAACUUUUAAUUUUGAGACCAUUGUAGAUUUGCAUGCAGUGGUAAGAAAUAACACCAAGAGAUCAUGGGUACAGUUCACCCAGCUCCUCCUAAUGGUACAAUGUCACAACCUGCACAGUGACAUUGACAGAAGCCACUGAUCUUACUCAGGUUCCCUCAGUUUUACUUUUGUGUGUGUGUGUGUGUGUGUGUGUGUGUAUAGUUAGUUCUAUGUAACUUUAUCACGUGUAGUUUUGUGUAUAGCCUGUAUGGUGGCUUUUUAAUUAUAGUUAUGUAGUUAUUGUUAUAUAUUCAAUUCUUUCCUUUAUAUUCUGCUUUUGUUGUCAAAAUAAUGAAGAUCUUCUCUUCCCCAGGAUCACAAAAAUUAUCUCAGGAAUUCCAGGAAGAAGAGUCCAUUUAUUGACUCUUUCUGCCUUUUAUCCAUAGAAAUUCCAUGUGGAAAUCUCUCUAAUCCAGAUUCCCCCUUACCUUUUCCACUGGAGAUUUUUUACCAAAUUGAACAAUAACUGUUGGUGCUAAAUCCACCAGAAAUACUUUUCAGUUCUCAUUUCAUUCACUGAUUUCUUUAUUCAACAAAUAUUUCCAGUGUGUGCUUAGGUCUCCGGCAUGGUUCUAGGCCUGGGCACGCAGUACGGCAGAGGGAGAUGCAAGAGAAAGAUGGAUGGGAUCAGACCUCAUGGGAACCUUGCUGGCUGUGCAGAAUAAGAAGUUUGGAUUUUAUUCUCAAGGCAAUGGGAAACUAGAAGAUUUAAAGGAGGGGAGAGAUCCAAUCUGAUUUCUUUUUUUUUUUUUUUCUGAGAUGGGGUCUUGCUCUAUUGCCCAGGUUGCAGCCUCAACCUCCUGGGCUCAAGUGAUUCUCCCACCUCAGCCUCCCAAGUACCUGGGACCACAGGUGUGCACCACCAAGCCCGGCUAAUUAGUUUUUAUUUUUGUAGAGACAAAAAUAAACUGUGUUGCUCAGGCCAGUCUCAAACUCCUGAGCUUAAGUGAUCCUUCUGCCUCGACUUCCCAAAGUGUUGGGAUUACAGAACAGAGGGAAUUUCCUGGAAGGCAGGGUCUGUGUUCAUCUCCCACAGAGCAUAGAGCACAGUGGAUGCUGAGGAAAUGGUGAAUGCUGGAAAGGAGCAACAGAAGGAGCUCCAGUUCUCCCUGAGAAGUGUCCCCAUUGGGGAAGUGACCCAAAGUCUCAUGUGUCUCUGGGAGAUAAAUCAAGAUCAAGGCUAGGGCCUUGGGACUCAGCCUAGCCCUGUGAACAAUAUCUCACCUGGACUUUCAAAAGAUGGGGUGAAGGUGGACCACACCGGGUGUUCUCAGUGGCUUCCCAGGGCAGCUGCCUCAAUUAGAGGAUUUGCUAGUACGUAGCAGAGUGUGCAAUAAAUCUUAUUGUUUCAUUAGGAGCACUGUGUUUAAUUCAGAUAACUCUACUGCUUGGCAAGGGAGAAAACUGCAGCCCUAGGGGCUGAGGAGAGACAUGUCUAUUCUUGACUUCUGACAGAGCCCCUUUAUCCAAGUCUUGACAAAUCCCCUACCUGUCACCACCUCCUCCCUCUCCCCCAGCACUAUCCGUAGACUGGGAUCCUCAGACUCCCUGAGAUUCUGAUUCCGCAGGUCUGGGAUGGGGCCCCAGAUUAUUCUGAUGCAGGUGGCCCACAAACAUACUUGAGAAACCCUAUUGAGGAGGGAGAUUAAGUUGAGAUCAUGAAGCACCUCGAAUGUCAGUUAAAGAAGUUCAAACAGCUACCAUCUGCUUGCUUUGCACCAGCUGGACAUGGGGCAAGAUUUUGUUUGAAAGAAGGAGUUUGAGGCAGGUGUCGUGGCGUGUGCCUGUAAUCCCAGCCUGAGAUAGGAGGAUUGUUUCAGCCCAUGAGUUCAAGACUAGCUUGUGCAACAUAGCAAAAUAGAAAGAAA